GGAGGAGGAGGUGGAUUCCAAGGCUCCUAAUGGGGAUGCUGGCCUUGACCCUGAGAAGGGUCUCCUCCCAGACUGGAGGGAAGUUUGAUGCAAGGGUAGAUGAUACAGGAGUUUGAGUCAGCUCAUAGUUGAUUGCCUCAAUUUUUUUAAUGAUGUAGGAGGUAAAGUGGUGUUCUGAAGGAGAUGGGAGCUGUGGAUGGGGUCUCAGAAAGGGUAAUUUUUGUUUGUUUGUUUAUUUUUACAGACAAGGUCUGGCUCUGGCACCCAGGCUGGAGAGCAGUGGCAUGAUCAUAGCUCACUGUAACCUCAAACUUCUGGGCUCAAGCAGUCCUCCCACCUCAGCCUUCUGAGUAGCUAGGACUACAGUGUGCACCCCUAUGCACAACUAAUUUUUCAUUUAUUUUUUGUAGAGAUAGCAUCUUGCUAUGCUGCCAAGGUUGAUCUCAAACUCCUGGGCUGAAGUGAUCCUCCAGCCUUGGCCUCCAAAAGUGCUAGGAUUACAACAGGCAUGAACCACCAUGCCCAGCUCUUUGUGGGAUUUCAGGAAAGCUAGAAGACUGGAGGGAGCUACUGAGAGGAAUGUGAGAGGGAGCUGACAUGAGACAAUACAAAAUCCCUGUGGGUGUGCAGCUUCUUGGCAUUUUGGACAAAGAAUGGGACAACACACACAAACAAAGCAAAGGAAGAAUGAAGCCACAAAAGCAGAGACAUAUUGAAAACAGAAGCACGCUCCAGAGGGUGGGAGUGGCCCAAGCAAGCAGCUCAAGGGCCCGGUUGCAGAAUUUUCUGGGGUUUAAUUACCCUCCAGAGGUUUCCAUUGGUUACUUGCUGUAUGCCAUAUGUAGAUGAAGAGGCUAAAAUGAAGUUACAAAGUCAUUUACUUGGUGUAUGCCCUGUGUAAAAGAAGAGGAUAUUUCCUGUCAUAGCUGAAGUGUUUUUGUUUGAUUUAGUUCUAGGAAGUCCUUAGGUUCUCUGCCUCCAGGCCCUAUUCUCCUGCCUCAUUUCCCCCUUGAAAGUAGUGAUCCCCAUAAAUCUUUAUGGGAGGCAGAGGCAUAGAUGGUCUUCUGUACUGCUUCAUGCUGCCUUGGAGCAUAGUCCCUACCUACUGGGGAUCACAGAACCCUUGCCCUGCUUUGUCUAGUGGAGGCAGGGUAGCUCCUUGAUAACCAGUGGUGGUGUCUUCACCUGGAGCUGGCCGGAACCCUUGUCGCAUGAUCAUCUGAAGAUUUAUUGUCUCUAGGCAAGAGGAAAUGAAUUUGGUUACAAGAUUUAAUGGAAACUUCAGGAGAUAGAUACCUAUGCUGUCAGGAAUGUUUGUUAUAGAGAUUUGCAGGAGAAAAACAAAACUUGGUCUGUUCUAGGUUCUAUGUGUUUCCUUAAAGUCUCAGCAUAAGCGACUCCAUUUUGGUUUGGUUUGGUCUGUUGGGGCCUAGUGCAUGAGCUCAGUCCAAAACAAUGGCCUCUCAUAAUUUUGUUUAAAAAAAUUCUCCCUUUUUGGUCAGGUGCUCACUUAGGUGAGAGUGCAACCAAAACUUAGGGCCUUAGCUCCACUCUCAGUUAUCAUCAUUUUGGGUUUCUGGUCUCAGCAUGUCAUUCAUAGGUUACAGUGUUCUCAUGGUCGCACAUUUCUUUCAGCUCUUGUUAUUCCAGUUGAAUAGAGACCAUUUGACAUUCUAGAGAUGGCUGCAUGCAAACAUUUAAAACCUUUGAGAGAAUACAGCAUGCCAGGGAGCCUAUUAUUAUUACUAUCAGGAUGAGUGUUCCCAUAAACCAAAAUACCUAAAAUCAAAUAGAUCAAAGGGUGACCUAGAUAAAGAGUGUACUCACUUAACUAAAGAGUCUCCGCAUUAAUCCCCUACAACUGAAUUUCUAUAAUCUUCAUUUGAUAUAUUUAUCUGUAGGCCACAAGUGCCAGCAGUUGUACAAAUACUUCUCUGUUCAGCCAAUUCUAUCAUAACUUUCACAAAAUAAUUUAAAGUCUGUUGUGUAACUAUAGCCUUUAUAGUAGAAUCUGGUAUACAGCCUAUCAUGAGGGACACAUUUCUAAUAAUUACUUCUUUUUCUCCAAACUGUGGAGCAUAUACACAGACAUAUUAGAAUUUUAGAAAUCCCAUACAAUUUUGGAACAUAUAUUAAUAUCAUUCACUAAAAUAUAACCUGAAGAUAAUUAAAUAUUAUUUUUUAUUUUGACAGUACUUCCCAUGUAACUAAACAUGUCAAAUAAUCCUAUUUACCUCUCUUUUCAAUGCUUCAGGGGCCCUCUGUAGCACUGCAAAGUUAGAGAUCAGAAAAGUCUAUUUUAAAGCUGAAAUUUGAUUGUGGGAAGCCUAUUAAAUAUGUUAAAGAUUUACAAGAAUUUACAUUCCCAUGACUUCUUAUAAUCUUUUACCAAUCAUUCAACUGGUUUGCUCAGAGAGAGAGGGGCCAGAAGUCCGACUGGUAAGAAUUCUUACCCUAUUGCCGGCAUGUCAGGUUUCUGGGUUCCUGUCCCUUAGCAGCCCUUGCAACUCUGCUCAACUGUAUGCAAACAAACACAUUGCCAUGAAUUAAGAAUAUUCACAAAUAGUUUACAAAUUUUGGAGAAAUUAGGUAGAGAGAGAAAUAUGACUCAAAUUCUUUUUAUGAAAGUAUACUCAACACAUGUAAAGUAUCAGGAAUCCUAAUUUCCAAAAAUUUAGCUUAAGGUUAGAAAGUUGAUGUGCUCCAUCAAUUUCUGCAGGCCUGACAAAAGUAGUCUAGGAAUUCAAGAUAAAUGAAACAAAUAGUGACUUGCUAGAUAUGCAUAGGAAACAAAAUGGCUAUUAAUAGAACUAAAUAAAAGCCUUCCACUGGAAACUAAAAAAAAUUAGGGCUUUAUAUAUAUGCAUAUGUAAGCAAAACUCAGGAUAGUAAACAGCAAACAAAUGAAAAUUAGAAGCACAGACAAACAGGAAACCAACCCUAAAUUUUUUCUACUCAAUCUAUCCUGGAGGCUACAGUGUAACCCAGGGCCCCACAAAACACACAUAAUGAAUAUUUUAUUCCUGAUACACAAUUCAAUAUCCUUAAGUCAACCAAUAUCACCAUACAUCCUGUGCAAUCAAGAAAUUCACUCUAGGCAUAUGCCCAAUAAGUACUCCAGUGCCAGCACUAUCCACGCAAAAUAGUAAACAUAGUGUAAAGCAACGCAAGUAUGUAUGUGAAAUUUGGCUCCACACUAAAUCAGGUUUCAUGUUUAACUAUAUUUAAAAAAUAAUUUCCAAACUGCCAACAAUAUUUCUUAUUUUGCUUUAAUCAAAACUAAGAACUUUAUGAAAAUGUUAAUUAGCCAAAUGUCUCCAAUUCUCUAUCGGGUUUUAAAUAAUAUUUUAUUAUUUAAACUUUUUUUUUCACAUGUUUCUCCCCUCCUUACUGGUUCCUUACUACAUUGUUUCAUAAACAACCUUUGUAAAUUUGUAAUUUGAACUAACUUUUAGAUAACUUCUGAAUUAGACAAAAUUAUUCUUUUUUUUUCACAAAUAAAAGAAUGCUUUCUGGC
rnacentral:lncRNA from 10 species